rnacentral:misc_RNA from 1 species
GAACUGCGAUAAGUAAUGUGAAUUGCAGAAUUCAGUGAAUCAUCGAGUCUUUGAACGCACAUUGCGCCCCCUGACAUUCCGGGGGGCAUGCCUGUCCGAGCGUCAUUGCUGCCCUCAAGCCCGGCUUGUGUGUUGGGUCGUCGUCCCCCCCGGGGGACGGGCCCGAAAGGCAGCGGCGGCACCGUGUCCGGUCCUCGAGCGUAUGGGGCUUUGUCACCCGCUCGAUUAGGGCCGGCCGGGCGCCAGCCGGCGUCUCCAACCUUAUUUUUCUCAGGUUGACCUCGGAUCAGGUAGGGAUACCCGCUGAACUUAAGC